UAGUGAGUGAACUGCCAUUUGAAAACCCUAAAUAACCCUAAAUUUUCAAAUUCUUCGACAAUGUUUUGAUCUCUAUCCCUUGUCGAAAUAACAUCAUUAAUGUUGGUGGAGAUUGUCCAUGCGCACAUCUUACAUCACAAAACCCAUUUUUCUUCUUCUUCAUUUGUAGAUUCUCACUCACUGAUCCAUUCAUGAAAUUACUCAUGAAAUCCUUACAUCGAAACUUGAUUAUGUCAAUUUCAUCAACAACAUUGUUGGUAGUGACUGAUACUUCUUCCUUCAGAAGUAAUUGAGAAAUAAUGAAGUUAGGGUUUAAGGUUUUUAUGCUCAGCAUACAGGUUUUCAGAUAUGAAGGUGUCCGGUGUCCCUCUAUCAUAUAUUGUCAAGUUUCUGAUCAACCAACCGAGGUCAUUUAAAAAAAAGGACAUUUUACAAGAGAUUAAUGUCAAAGAACUCCCAUUCGAAGUUGUUGGCUGACGUAAGAUGCAACGUCUCAAAUAAACAAAGGUUUCUCUAAAUUGCUCUGGAAAAGGUAAUUUCCUCUUAAAACUUCCUCUAUGCAGUGAUCAGCGUUUCACAACUCUCUCCGAGCAGUCACAAAUUUAAGAUAUUGAUGAGCAUAAGGCAAAUGUUGCACAGAGCCUCACCUCUUAUUCUCAGUAGAUUUAUGAUUCUCCAGCAUCAUGUCUAUUAAUCACGCUAUUAACAGUAAUAUUUGGAAUCAUCCGUCUCAUUUUAGGCUUAAGUUCAAUUCACUGCUCGAGACAAAAACCUGCUAAUUUUUUCUAAAGUAGUAGGUAUGCUGGACUUUUCUUUCACAAAUACUUUGAAUUGAAAAGCUGGUAUAUAUCUCAAUCAGGAAUUUUUGUAUGUUUUAGUUUGGAUUUCUAGAUAUUGGAGGAAAAGUGGAAUUAAGUUAAAGAAAGAAAUAUGUGGGCAGCAUGUUGCUUGCCUGGCUUCAUGCUGUGCAGCGGCGUGCAUGGGAAGCUUGCCGAAUAGUCGUAUCAGUAGACGUUCUGCUUCACUUGCUUAUUGUGGUCUUUUUGCUUUCUCUCUUAUUGUUUAAUGGAUCUUUAGAGAAGUUGCUGCUCCUUUCAUGGAGAAAAUCCCAUAUAUGUUUUGUUUUACUUUACGAUUGCUUGGUUUCUUGAAGGAAUUGUUUAAAUUAUUUGUUAUAGCUUUGGUGUUGGAUGUGAAACUGUAAUUAGCUCUAAAAUUUUGUGUAAUUUCUCAUCCUUGCCAUUAUAAUGAUUGGUUUCAAGGACCAGAAGGACCCUCCCUGUCCCUGGGGACAGACAGUUUGCACCAAGGUGGGGAUGAAUGAUGAAGGUUGUUAGUUGGUGCCUUCUGGUGGUUUUAUAUGUUUUUUACGUCCAAUGGGAUAGUCAGCUUUUAUGAACCUUAAGUGACGUCAUUACACCCAAGAAACUUUCGAAUUUCAACAACAGGGAGCGUGAGAACCAAAUGAUGGAGUAUUUUACAGAUUGAUGUGGAAACCUGAGCAAUUUAUCAAACUUCUGCAGCAACUCUUCAGACCUCAGCAGGCUUAUGAUCCUGACUAAUGAGAUCAUUGCUUUCAGUAACACUAAUCUAGGGGCUGUGCGUGCAAGAAUUUAAGUGAGAAAGAGAAUUAAUUUUAAUGCUGUUACAUGUGGGACACUGACGGGCCUUUGGGAAUAUCGUUGCUGAUCGGAGCUUGGUCAAGUAGUCCUGCACCAUACUUGCUUCCUUGAGAUAGUAGCUUGAUUUAUACAAUGAGAUUUCUCAUCUCAGGACUUUACUAGGCUCUCGUUGUGUUAUUUAGAAACAAUAUGCAGGGGAAAAAGUAUUAAGAAUUGAUCUUAUGAUCUUAACCUUUCUCAAUAUUAUAGUGACAGUGGAAUGAAUAUUGUGUCAGUAAUCUGCCUAAGAUGAUGUUUCCGGUUGCUAACAGUUAAGAAGAGAAGUGAAUGCAAAUUGCCCAGAUUGAUCCUGGUUCCUGUAUUUCAGUUAGGCACCAAUCCUUGUAGCAUAUGUGUGCUUGAACUAGAAUUAUGUACAGCUGAAAAUGAAGGAGGCUUUCUCCUUGAAAAAAGUCUGGUUUUAUGAUAAUUUUAGAAUGUCUCUUAAAGUUCUUGCAGUUUUUCUUUUUCUGCAGAUUUUGUUCUUUUUCUUCUUGGUUGUCAUUCCCUUUGUCCUAUAUGCUAUAUCUAUCGCGGUGAAGAACGACGCAGUUGUGAUGGAGGAUGGUGAUAAAAAUUUGGUGUGUUAUGUCUGGUCGGCCAUAUGACACCGACGGUAGACAAGGUUUUACAUGUGUAGUUGAAAAGGAUGAAAUAAGCAGUUAUGGACCGCUCCAUAAAUCUUACGCAGGCAAACUGCUUACGGGCACACCCACAAGUACUCCAUGAAUGUCAUAUUUUCUUCCUUGAUGCUCAAAGAGUUUGUACUGAGUGAUGUUAUGUCAGUAAUAAGUGUCUUCCAAGGGUUAAUGUUCUGUGUAUUUGAAUGUCACAUCUUUGUGAACUAGCAUCUUGAUGCAAUAGAUUUCUUUUGUUCAGUCUGGAGCCUGGAGCUAUGGUUCUAUUAGAUUAAUCAUACACUACACUGUAGUUUGUCUUCCUCCCAGUAUUAUUAUUAUACAAAAUACUCACUGCCAUGAAACUCCUUGCGUACUGAGCUUAGCUUGUCUCAGUUUCCAGCUGUAUUAUUUAUUAGUUCCUUUUGUGAUAUUAUACAAUGGUUUGCAGCAAUUCGUCCAUUGAAAGGCUUAUUUACAAAUCUUUGACAGUUCACAACAUAAUGAAAAUGACAAAUCUUACAACAUUUCAGUUUCCCUGCAUCCUUCUUGAAUGUUGUCUCUUGAUAGCUGCAAAUUUGGCCACUAAAUCAUCGUACUCGGGAAGUUUUGGAUGGAUAUGGCUGCUGUAAGAAGAGGAGGAACUGCUACUACUUCCUGAAUGUUGUCUCUUGAUGGCUGUGAAUUUGGCCACUAUAUCGUCGUACUCCGGUAGGUUUGGAUGGAUAUGGCUGCUGCAAGAAGAGGAAGAACUGGUGCUAUCACGCUGUGGAGAUUGAAAGCUGUCUCCCAUUUCCUCCUCAAAUCGAAGUUCCUCGGGAGAUAUUUCAUUAGUAUUGUACUUUCUUCGAUUAUGCCCAAUAUCAGUUUGUAAAGGAGUAUCCAUUUCAAGGCAAUUCUCUCUAGCUAUUUCUGAAAGCUUUU